rnacentral:lncRNA from 1 species
GGAAUCUUUUUAAAGCCGGUCAGAUCACAUCUUCCCCUACGUGGGGCCUGCAUGUCCUGGAUCCCUUCACUUUGGCACCACUGCCUUCUUCCAUGUUCCUGGAAACAGCAGGACUCGUGCGUGAUGCUGAACAAAUUUCCCAGCAGACAUAACGCCAUCAUCUCGCCAUCCAGUUGCCUCAAGCUGUGUUCCACAUUCCAUGCUUUUGCUUAAAAUGGGUCCGAGUCAGGAUCACUCCACCUAUUCAUCAAGGAACUCCUCCGAUCUUCCUCCCAAGCCAAGACUUAAAGGGAUUGCUGUGGCCCACGCUUGGACCCCGUAGGGUAACACAGCCCGGGGGAGCGAGGAACGCGCAUGCCCGCGACAGAGUUUUACGCGUGCGCAAUCGUAGCACUUCCAGUGCAGCGCUAAACUCACGGCUGCGCAGCUGCAGCCUGCUGAGGGAGCCCGGUGGAGGACAGUUCUGCGCUUGCGCCAUGUUAGAGGGUGGGAACGAAACCCAGGCUGGGAAGGCUUCGGGGCCGACCAGCCGUCGGCGCGCGUGCGCCUUGGCAAGGAGCGGCCGGGGGCGGGGCCCAGAGGGGAGGGAGAGGGGAGAGAGGCGGGAGGGGGGAAGGGAAGAGGCCGCAGAAGCCCGAGCCCUGACCCACCGGCUGGCUGGGGCUGCGGCAGCGCCGGUGAGUGACCCGUGGCCCGACUCGGUUCCCACCCUCCAAGACCCUCACUUUUUCCGGAGUCCCAGAUAG